AGGACGAACGCUGGCGGCGUGGAUUAGGCAUGCAAGUCGAGCGAUAUCUACCUUCGGGUAGUGAAAGCGGCGAACGGGUGAGUAACACGUGAACAACCUGCCCUCACAUUCCGGAUAAUAGACUGAAAAGUCUUGUAAUACGGGCGAGGAUUUUCUUAGGCAUCUUUAGAAAGGGAAGGCGCAAGCCGUGCGAGGAGGGGUUCGCGGAUUAUCAGAUAGUUGGUGGGGUAACGGCCUACCAAGUCUACGACGAUUAGCUGGU
rnacentral:rRNA from 1 species